AUUGAACGCUGGCGGCAUGCCUUACACAUGCAAGUCGAACGGCAGCACGGGUGCUUGCACCUGGUGGCGAGUGGCGAACGGGUGAGUAAUACAUCGGAACGUACCUUAUCGUGGGGGAUAACGCAGCGAAAGCUGUGCUAAUACCGAAUACGCCCGGAGGGGGAAAGCGGGGGACCGAAAGACCUCGCGCGAUUAGAGAGCCCGAUGCCUGAUUAGCUUGUGGGUGGGGUAGAAGCCCACCAAGGCGACGAGCAGUAGCUGGUCUGAGAGGACGAUCAGCCACACUGGGACUGAGACACGGCCCAGACUCCUACGGGAGGCAGCAGUGGGGAAUUUUGGACAAUGGGGGCAACCCUGAUCCAGCAAUGCCGCGUGAGUGAAGAAGGCCUUCGGGUUGUAAAGCUCUUUUGUCAGGGAAGAAACACCGGCUCUAACACAGUCCGGGAAUGACGGUACCUGAAGAAUAAGCACCGGCUAACUACGUGCCAGCCGCCGCCGUAA
rnacentral:rRNA from 1 species